rnacentral:snRNA from 1 species
GUGCUCGCUUCGCAGCACAUAUACAAACAUUGGAACGAUACAAAGAAGAUUAGCAUGGCCCCUGCGUAAGGUUGACACGCAAAUUUGGGAAGUGUUCCAUAUUUUU